CCCAGAAUCCACCCCUGAAAUCCAUCCCAGAAUCCAUUGCUGGGAUCCAUCCCAGGGAUCCUUCCCAGGAAUCCACCCCUGGAACCCACCCCAGGAUCCACCCCAGGGAUCCACCCCAGGAAUCCACCCCAGGAUCCAUUCCAGGGAUCCAUCCCAGGAAUCCACCCUAGGAUCCACCCCUGGAACCCAUCCCAGGAAUCCACCCCAGGAUCCAUCCCAGGGAUCCAUCCCAGGAAUCCAUCACUGGGAUCCAUCCCAGGAAUCCACCCCAGGAUCCAUUCCAGGGAUCCAUUCCAAAAUCCACCCCAGGAUCCAUCCCAGGGAUCCACCCCAGAAUCCAUCCCAGGAAUCCAUCGCUGGGAUCCACCCCAGGGAUCCACCCCAGGAAUCCACCCCUGGAACCCAUCCCAGGAACCCAUCCCAGGAAUCCACCCCAGGAAUCCACCCCAGGAAUCCAUCCCAGGAAUCCAUCCCAAAAUCCACCCCAGGAUCCAUUCCAGGGAUCCACCCCAGAAUCCAUCCCAGGAAUCCAUCGCUGGGAUCCACCCCAGAAUCCACCCCAGGAUCCACCCCAGGAUCCACCCACACCACCCGCCACGGUUGCUAAAAGAAUAAACAACAAAACCACAAACA
rnacentral:lncRNA from 1 species